UCUACACACAUUUCGACAGCUUAGACACAGAUAAGGAUUGUGAGGUUACUUCCUUGUCAUUACAAAGCCCCAGAUUGCCAAUGACCACACUAAUGAACUAAUUGGAUAAGCACAUCCACAAGGUGUGGAAGCACACAUGUGCUAAUUAGAAAACGCAGCACUCAGGUGUGCUAUAAAAGGCAGCAGGUGAGUUCACCUGUAUUCAUCAAAAAUGGAAGGAGCUAGAAGAAGAGUGAGAAUGAGAGGGGGAGCUCAAAGAGGAGAAGAAGAAGGUAGAGGAAGAGGCCUAGGUAGAGGAAGAGGAGAAGGAGGAGAUAGAGGAAGAGGCCUAGGUAGAGGAAGAGGAGAAGGAGGAGAUAGAGGAAGAGGCCUAGGUAGAGGAAGAGGUAGAGAAGAACUUGAAGAGUUGACAGAACCUGAACAAAGAAGACGAGGACCAAAUUUGACUCAAGAAAUCCGUGCAACACUUAUUGACCAUGUUCUCAACCAUGGACUGACACUGAUGGAAGCUGGACAAAGAGUUCAACCAAAUCUCAGCAGAAAUACUGUUGCGUCAGUAAUUCGGACAUUUCAUCGAGAAAACAGGUAAGCUAACCACACAGUACAUUGAAACUUAAGCUUGCUGUACUUGUCAUCAAUAUUGUUUACUGUGACAUUUGAGGCUGCAUGUGUAUUUUUUUAUAUAUACAGUAUAUUUUUCACAUAGGAUUGAGGGUCGAGGACACCAAGGUGGAAGGGGCCCUAUGUUCACCCGUGCACAAGAGGCCGCCAUAGUGAACAUGGUUGUGGCCAAUAAUUGUAUCAGGCUGCGAGAAAUCCAAGCCAAUAUCAUCAACGAUGACCGUAUUUUCAAUAACAUCCACCGAGUCUCUCUGUCAACAUUAGCUCGAAUCCUCAAGAAAAAGCAAGUACACAUGAAGCAACUAUAUCGGGUACCAUUUGACAGAAAUUCAGAGAGAGUGAAACAUCUGCGCUCUGAAUAUGUGGAGAGAGUCUUGCAAAUGGAUGCAGAACAAAUUCAGCAUGAAUUUAUAUAUGUGGAUGAGGCUGGAUUUAACCUUGCAAAAACACGAAGACGAGGGAGAAAUGUAAUUGGACACAGGGCAAUCACCAAUGUGCCAGGGCAGCGAGGGGGUAACAUCACCCUCUGCGCUGCUAUCACACAAAAUGGGGUCCUCCACCACCAUGCAAAUCUGGGACCCUAUAAUGCAAAUCUAAUACUUGCAUUUCUUGACAGAUUGCACGAGAUUGUCACAGCAUUAAACAAAGUGGAC